rnacentral:lncRNA from 1 species
GUAACAUUCUCAGUUAGUCUAAUCCAAACUGUCGUUUCUAUGUUUAAACAAAUUAGUGAGGUUACCUCUACACCACUGAUUUUAACUAGGUAAGUCAGUUAAGAACAAAUUCUUAUUUUCAAUGACAGUGGGUUAACUGCCUUGUUCAGAGGAAGAACAACAGAUUCUUACCUUGUCAACUCAGGGAUUCGAUCUUGCAACCUUUCAGUUACUAGUCCAACACUCUAACCACUAGGCUACGCUGCCACCCCCAAAUGCAGACAAGAGGGAGACAGAGAGCAAGCAUUAGUAAUGCAGAUUUCUUGCUGAGGAUUUUCCAACACAAAUCGUUCCGUCACUCAGUCUCACCUACGUCCUCUGGUGCAUUUCUAGGACUGGUCCCUAGAGGGCGCUCUGGUGUCAUUCUCCGUAGCAGCUGCCAUGGCUGUAAGUGAACGAGACACACAGAAGAGUGAGACACAUUAUCAACUCACAAGGUGAUUCAAUGAGGGUAAAGUUCAAUUUGUGUCAUGAAAAAAGGCUUUAACUGCGGUUGUAUGGGUGUUAUAAAUAUUUGACGUGACAUGACCGUUGAAAAUAUGUUAACACGGUUGGUAAUUUUUUAAAACAUUUUAGUCAUUUAGCAGACACUCUUAUCCAGAGCGACUGACAGUAGUGAAUGCAUUCAUUUCAUAUAUUUUUUUUCUUUCUGUGCUGGCCCCCCGUGGGAAUCGAACCCACAACCCUGUGCGUUGCAAACACCAUGCUCUACCAACUGAGCUACAGGGAAGGCUGGUAGAAAUGCUUUUACUGUGUUUGUAUUAUUGACAUUGCCUGAGGACUCCUAUAGGGACUAGGCAGCUCGUGCUCAAAACCCAUCACCCCAAAAGAAGGGGUCUUGUGUCCCCUCAGCCUUGUCCAGCAGGAACAGAGAGUCUGAGACAUUCAAGGCUUGCCUGGGGAAGGAUACGCUGCUACUGUUACCAGAACGUGGCUGCAAAAUAUCUGUUGUGCAUCACCCAGGUCAGGCUCGGCCAGGGCGAUGCGUAUGUCUCUCAGAGCGCGCCAUGCGCUCCUUGGCCUGCUGGAUCUCCUCAGGAAGAGAGGGAAGGAAGCCACACUGGUGGUGGUAGACGAUGCCCACCCCGUACUGCAGCUGGGAAGACAGAUAGAGGGAGAAGCGAGGCUGGGGGAGACCGGGGCAGAGCGGAGCCACCUGGACCAUCACGUAGUCCAUGAUGUCCUCACUGUAAAAGAUAUACACAACCACUAGCUAUGAUCAGAGCCAUGACACAAUACAUCUAACUUAGCUAGCUAUCCAUGUUUCGUCUCGAAGUUUAGGGACCAUGUAGGUUGGUUAGCAUAACAUAUUCCCCUCUGUCUGUCAGACAUAGAAAGGAGAGAGGAAGGGUUGAGGAAGGGUUGAUGUCACCAUGUCUGCCCAACGUUACCCCUCAGAAGCUCUCUGCAUGUUAUCCUGAUCCCUUUGGUUGCUGUCAAACCGCAUGAUAAUAAAUACCAGAAUGUGUCUAAAUUGAAGGCCUCUGAUGAUGGUGAUGACCAAUACACACAUUACAUUGGCUGAGAUUGACAAGAUACAAAAUAUUAAAC